UACGUAGGGCGCGAGCGUUGUCCGGAUUUAUUGGGCGUAAAGAGCUCGUAGGCGGCUUGUCGCGUCGACUGUGAAAACCCGUGGCUCAACCAUGUGGUCUGCAGUCGAUACGGGCAGGCUAGAAUUCGGUAGGGGAGACUGGAAUUCCUGGUGUAGCGGUGAAAUGCGCAGAUAUCAGGAGGAACACCGAUGGCGAAGGCAGGUCUCUGGGCCGAUACUGACGCUGAGGAGCGAAAGCGUGGGGAGCGAACAGG
rnacentral:rRNA from 1 species